rnacentral:pre_miRNA from 1 species
UACAAGCCCGGGCUCUUUCCACUGAGCCACGCUGCUUCUCCUAUCAGCGUGGCUCAGUGGAAAGAGCCUGGGCUUGUA